rnacentral:rRNA from 1 species
CGCGUAGGUGGUCUGAUAAGGGUGUGGUGAAAGCCCGGGGCUCAACCCCGGGUCGGCCGUGCCGACUGUCAGACUAGAGUGCUGUAGGGGCAGGCGGAAUUCCGGGUGUAGCGGUGGAAUGCGUAGAGAUCCGGAGGAAGACCGGUGGCGAAGGCGGCCUGCUGGGCAGUUACUGACACUGAGGCGCGACAGCGUGGGGAGCAAACAGGAUUAGAUACCCUGGUAGUCCACGCCGUAAACGAUGGGUACUAGGUGCCUGGGGGAGCGACCCCUUGGGUGCCGGCGCUAACGCAGGAAGUACCCCGCCUGGGGAGUACGGCCGCAAGGCUGAA